rnacentral:lncRNA from 1 species
GGGCGGGCCCCUCGCUCCUUCCCGCAGAGGCUUUUUCCCUCCCGACCCCGCACUCACCUGCCCAGGUCUGGAUCAGGGCCACGGCUCCCGAGAACAGCAGGAGGAGGGUUCGGGACUCCAUGACCCGCAACCUUGGCGUCUGGGGAGAAUCUGAGUCCCGGUGGGCCGGCGAGGACUUUAGAACCAGGAACCGCGGCGACACUGAUUGGCUGAUCUAGGAACCCAACACCCAAUGGAAGUGAGAACUGAGGCCGCAUCAUGAGUAUCCAGGUAAAAGGACCUGACACAGGUUGGGAAAGGUGGAAGAGAGAGAGCGGAGCUCGGGAAACCCCAAAGCUGAGCCGGCCCAUCCCAGGCACCGCCCUCGGGGCCUGAAGCCCAGAGAGCCAAGCUCCGGGCCCUGGGACUUGGCUCUUACCCCCUUCUUUUAUAUCAAACGCUCUGUCUCAAUGUCUCCCCGAAUCUUGGCCCCGGAGCUGUCUGAGAAACCAGAGAAAAACCCUCAGCAUGGGCUCAGUCCCUCUCCCUUCACUUUUCAUCCCAGAAUCCCCCUCCCUGAACUGGACUUCCUGCCUCCCAUUCCUUGCCUGUCCCCCUGGACUCUUCUAG